CUAACACAUGCAAGUCGAACGGUAACAGGAAGCAGCUUGCUGCUUCGCUGACGAGUGGCGGACGGGUGAGUAAUGUCUGGGAAGCUGCCUGAUGGAGGGGGAUAACUACUGGAAACGGUAGCUAAUACCGCAUAAUGUCACAAGACCAAAGAGGGGGACCUUCGGGCCUCUUGCCAUCGGAUGUGCCCAGAUGGGAUUAGCUUGUUGGUGGGGUAACGGCUCACCAAGGCGACGAUCCCUAGCUGGUCUGAGAGGAUGACCAGCCACACUGGAACUGAGACACGGUCCAGACUCCUACGGGAGGCAGCAGUGGGGAAUAUUGCACAAUGGGCGCAAGCCUGAUGCAGCCAUGCCGCGUGUAUGAAGAAGGCCUUCGGGUUGUAAAGUACUUUCAGCGGGGAGGAAGGGAGUAAAGUUAAUACCUUUGCUCAUUGACGUUACCCGCAGAAGAAGCACCGGCUAACUCCGUGCCAGCAGCCGCGGUAAUACGGAGGGUGCAAGCGUUAAUCGGAAUUACUGGGCGUAAAGCGCACGCAGGCGGUUUGUUAAGUCAGAUGUGAAAUCCCCGGGCUCAACCUGGGAACUGCAUCUGAUACUGGCAAGCUUGAGUCUCGU
rnacentral:rRNA from 1 species